CACCGAAUUGUAAUUUUUAUUUUUUUUUUUUGGUAACCUAAUAACAUGUAAGGAAGCCAAACAUGAAGCUGCAUUGAUUCUUAGAGCAAAAAUUCUGCGUGACAAUUUCUUUGCAAAGUCAUAAGCAGUUGUUUGUCUCAGGAUCCCAACCAGUAUCGGCCAGGGAAUUAAAUAAGAAAAAAAUACACUUGCAGAAGUAGCAAAACAUUUAUGUGAAUAACAACUUUGCAUAAUAAAACUUCAAAAAUGGAAGAUGCUGUAUCCAAGAGACACUGUUUCCACAACAGUGUAGAGAAAAGGUAGUUUUAAUUAAGAAAACUACUUUAUCAUUUGCUUUGGCAACUCAUUGCCUCUGCAACCAACCAACCCUAAACCUUUCAGGGAGAGAACUUAAAUGUGAAUGUUAAUUUGUGGCAUUGCACUGCUUCCAGAUCACUGACGAGGGGUGUCUGGAAACCACAGGAGCUCAUUAACUUCUAAACGUAGUUAGAUUCAGCAUUAAAAUGUGUUCAGUAUGGUCAGACUGCUCUUAGCUAGCUGAUUCUUCCUGUAUUCUUUAUCUGUCGUUAUUAGAGUAUAACAAAGUCAUAUUCUUCGCAGUUGGAGGCGCUUAAGGAAAACUUUAGAUUUAGUUAUUUCACCAAGCAUUGCUUCUCUCCAUCUGCACAAAGCAAUUUGUUGUGUGUUGUUACUGCCAUUGAAUCAAGCUGCUGGAACUGUGUGGCACAGCAUGAUCAGUCCUAAUAUCAUGCAAAAACAAGGCUCAGGCAUGCAGGUAUCUGACCCUUUGGCACAGCCCAUCUCCUUCACACAUCUACUGAAAGUUGAAACAUGCAAAGACUGAAGGAUCUUCACAUGGAAAGAAUCCAAAGCUGGAAACUCUUUGUAGUUUAACUGCAACUCUAAGAUCUGUUAUACAGAAAAGUAAAGUUUCAAGCAGCCUCCACCACUGAAUAUGAAGAAUGCUGAAAUUUUCCAUCACUUGAUUUAUUUCCAAGGAUUUAAUAUGCAGUUAUGAAUCCCCAUCUUUUCAGAAAAGCUAUUUCAAAUUCAAAACUGAAUGAAUACAAUUAAAAGCUUCGUAUUUACCAUAA